UUCAUUGCCAGUCACAACUUGUUCUUUCU
rnacentral:piRNA from 1 species